rnacentral:rRNA from 1 species
UGGGGAAUUUUGGACAAUGGGCGCAAGCCUGAUCCAGCAAUGCCGCGUGCAGGAUGAAGGCCUUCGGGUUGUAAACUGCUUAUGUACGGAACGAAACGGCUCUGGUUAAUACCUGGGGCUAAUGACGGUACCGUAAGAAUAAGCACCGGCUAACUACGUGCCAGCAGCCGCGGUAAUACGUAGGGUGCGAGCGUUAAUCGGAAUUACUGGGCGUAAAGCGUGCGCAGGCGGUGAUGUAAGACAGAUGUGAAAUCCCCGGGCUCAACCUGGGACCUGCAUUUGUGACUGCAUCGCUGGAGUGCGGCAGAGGGGGAUGGAAUUCCGCGUGUAGCAGUGAAAUGCGUAGAUAUGCGGAGGAACACCGAUGGCGAAGGCAAUCCCCUGGGCCUGCACUGACGCUCAUGCACGAAAGCGUGGGGAGCAAACA